AGUGAACGCUGGCGGCAGGCCUAACACAUGCAAGUCGAGCGGCAGCGCGGGUGUAGCAAUACAUCUGGCGGCGAGCGGCGGACGGGUGAGGAAUACAUCGGAAUUUACCCAAUCGUGGGGGAGUAACGUAGGGAAACGUUACGCUAAUACCGCAUGAACUGGAGACAGCAAAGACGGCGGACCGAAAGGACGUCGCGCGGUUGGAUGAGCCGAUGUCGGAUUAGCUAGU
rnacentral:rRNA from 1 species